UACCAUGGUUUUAACGGGUAACGGGGAAUUAGGGUUCGAUUCCGGGGAGGGAGCCUGAGAAACGGCUACCACAUCCAAGGAAAGCAGCAGGCGCGCAAAUUACCCAAUCCCGACACGGGGAGGUAGUGACAAUAAAUAACAAUAUGGGGCUCUUACGAGUCUUGUAAUUGGAAUGAGUACAAUUUAAAUCUCUUAACGAGGAACAAUUGGAGGGCAAGUCUGGUGCCAGCAGCCGCGGUAAUUCCAGCUCCAAUAGCGUAUAUUAAAGUUGUUGCAGUUAAAAAGCUCGUAGUUGAAUUUCGGGAUUUAUCCGUCGGUCGGGCUUUUGGGUCUGUACUGGCGUGAUGGAUUCCUACCUUCUGAAUAACCGGCAUGUCAUUAAUUUGGUGCGCCGGGGAAGCAGGACUGUUACCUUGAAAAAAUUAGAGUGCUUAAAGCAGGCUUAUGCCUGAAUACAUUAGCAUGGAAUAAUGAAAUAGGACGGCAUGGUUCUAUUUUGUUGGUUUCUAGGAUCACCGUAAUGAUUAAUAGGGAUAGUUGGGGGCAUUAGUAUUCAAUUGUCAGAGGUGAAAUUCUUGGAUUUAUUGAAGACUAACUUCUGCGAAAGCAUUUGCCAAGGAUGUUUUCAUUAAUCAAGAACGAAAGUUAGGGGAUCGAAGACGAUCAGAUACCGUCGUAGUCUUAACCAUAAACUAUGCCGACUAGGGAUCGGACGAUGUUAAUUUUUUAAUGACUCGUUCGGCGCCUUACGGGAAACCAAAGUGUUU
rnacentral:rRNA from 1 species